UUUGCUUCUCAGCCUUUUGAGAUCAAAUGUAAUAUCUAUUCUUACUAGUUUAAUGUCUGAUAUGUUCUAUAUUCGAAGACAAUAUAGUAAAUGGAUUUUUGGAGCAGGGAGAUGGAAUAGCACCUUGCUAUUCCACACAUCCACCUGGUAUUGCGGUGGUACCCCAGGAACAGUGCACCCCUU